rnacentral:rRNA from 1 species
UACGUAGGGGGCAAGCGUUGUCCGGAUUUAUUGGGCGUAAAGAGCGUGUAGGCGGCUUUACAGGUCCGUUGUGAAAACUCGAGGCUCAACCUCGAGACGCCGGUGGAAACCGUAAAGCUAGAGUCCGGAAGAGGAGAGUGGAAUUCCUGGUGUAGCGGUGAAAUGCGCAGAUAUCAGGAGGAACACCAAUGGCGAAGGCAGCUCGCUGGAACGGUACUGACGCUGAGGCGCGAAAGCGUGGGGAGCGAACAGG